UACGUAGGGGGCAAGCGUUGUCCGGAAUCAUUGGGCGUAAAGCGCGUGUAGGCGGUCCGAUAAGUUCGCUGUGAAAGUCGGGGGCUUAACCCUCGGAUGCAGGUGAAUACUGUCGGGCUUGAGUACGGAAGAGGCGAGUGGAAUUCCUGGUGUAGCGGUGAAAUGCGCAGAUAUCAGGAGGAACACCAAUUGCGAAGGCAGCUCGCUGGGACGUUACUGACGCUGAGACGCGAAAGCGUGGGGAGCAAACGGG
rnacentral:rRNA from 1 species